rnacentral:rRNA from 1 species
CCUACGGGGGGCUGCAGUCGAGAGGCUUCGUCAAUGCCCGAAAGGGUGAACGAGCGACGCCGCGUGCGGGAUGAAGGCCUUCGGGUUGUAAACCGCUUUUAUUAGGGACGAACGCACUGAUCGUGAAUUGGUGCUUGACGGUACUUGAUGAAUAAGCCUCGGCUAACUCCGUGCCAGCAGCCGCGGUAAUACGGAGGAGGCGAGCGUUGUUCGGAAUCAUUGGGCGUAAAGGGCUCGUAGGCGGACCUGUGUGUCUUGCGUGAAAUCUCCACCGCUUACCGGGGAGGGUGCGUAGGAAACUGCAGGUCUUGAGUAUGAUAGAGGGUCGCGGAAUUCCGGGUGUAGCGGUGGAAUGCGUAGAUAUCCGGAGGAACACCGGUGGCGAAGGCGGCGGCCUGGAUCAAUACUGACGCUGAGGAGCGAAAGCUAGGGUAGCAAACGGGAUUAGAUACCCCAGUAGUC